UACGUAGGGGGCGAGCGUUGUCCGGAAUGACUGGGCGUAAAGGGAGCGUAGGCGGCUUGAUAAGUUGUCUGUGAAAUACCCGGGCUUAACCCGGGGGUGUCAGACAAAACUAUUGAGCUAGAGUGCAGGAGAGGAAAGCGGAAUUCCUGGUGUAGCGGUGAAAUGCGCAGAUAUCAGGAGGAACACCGGUGGCGAAGGCGGCUUUCUGGACUGUAACUGACGCUGAGGCUCGAGAGCGUAGGGAGCAAACAGG
rnacentral:rRNA from 1 species